AACGCACCUUGCGCCCUCUGGUAUUCCGGAGGGCAUGCCUGUUUGAGUGUCAUGAAUACCUCACCCCUUCGGGUUUCCGACCGGGUGGAUUUGGGUGCGUGCCAGUGACAUGGCUCACCUUAAAUGCAUUAGCAACUGUGGACGUGAUAAGUUUCGUCUUGUGCGGCUGCUUCCAAUCUCCCUUGAGUGGGAUGUCUUGCAGAAGACAACUUCUAUGAUCGACCUCAAAUCAGGUAGGACUACCCGCUGAACUUAA
rnacentral:misc_RNA from 1 species